GCAAUCCUGGUGGCGAGUGGCGAACGGGUGAGUAAUACAUCGGAACGUGCCCAGUAGUGGGGGAUAACCCGGCGAAAGCCGGACUAAUACCGCAUACGACCUACGGGUGAAAGCGGGGGAUCGCAAGACCUUGCGCUAUUGGAGCGGCCGAUGUCAGAUUAGCUAGUUGGUGGGGUAAAAGCCUACCAAGGCGACGAUCUGUAGCUGGUCUGAGAGGACGACCAGCCACACUGGGACUGAGACACGGCCCAGACUCCUACGGGAGGCAGCAGUGGGGAAUUUUGGACAAUGGGCGCAAGCCUGAUCCAGCCAUGCCGCGUGCGGGAAGAAGGCCUUCGGGUUGUAAACCGCUUUUGUCAGGGAAGAAAAGCUCCGGGCUAAUACCUUGGAGUCAUGACGGUACCUGAAGAAUAAGCACCGGCUAACUACGUGCCAGCAGCCGCGGUAAUACGUAGGGUGCAAGCGUUAAUCGGAAUUACUGGGCGUAAAGCGUGCGCAGGCGGCUUUGCAAGACAGAUGUGAAAUCCCCGGGCUUAACCUGGGAACUGCAUUUGUGACUGCAUGGCUGGAGUGCGGCCAGAGGGGGAUGGAAUUCCGCGUGUAGCCAGUGAAAUGCGUUAGGAUAAUGCGGAGGAACACCGAUGGGCGAAGGCA
rnacentral:rRNA from 1 species